UACUCGAGUGGCGAACGGGUGAGUAACACGUGGGUGAUCUGCCCUGCACUUCGGGAUAAGCUUGGGAAACUGGGUCUAAUACCGGAUAGGAGCCAUCUUUAGUGUGGUGGUUGGAAAGUCUUUUCGGUGUAGGAUGAGCUCGCGGCCUAUCAGCUUGUUGGUGGGGUAAUGGCCUACCAAGGCGGCGACGGGUAGCCGGCCUGAGAGGGUGUACGGCCACAUUGGGACUGAGAUACGGCCCAG
rnacentral:rRNA from 1 species